rnacentral:tRNA from 1 species
GUGCUCGUAGCUCAACUGGAUAGAGCAACGGCCUUCUAAGCCGUAGGUCGCAGGUUCGAAUCCUGCCGGGCAUG